rnacentral:rRNA from 1 species
AUGUGGGUGCAGCAGGACCAGGCGAUCCUCUCUGUCAUCCAGGUCUCCCUCGGCGACGGGGUCGCAGGUCUCUGUCUCUUCGCCACCACCUUCAUGGACGCUUGGACGACCCUGAAGCAUGCCUUUGCCCAGGUCUCUACCUCCUGCUCGAUGGCCCUUCACAGCGAGCUCGCCAACAUUAAGAAGCGGGACUCCUCCGCCACGACCUACUUCAACAAGAUGAAGGUGCUGGCGGACACAUUCACCUCUAUCGGUCGGUCGCUCAACGACGAGGAGUUUGCUGGCUUUGUCAUCAAAGGCCUCGACGCCGACUACGACAAUCUCGUCGAGGCUGUUCACAACGCCAAGCCAGCGAUGCCCCCACACGAGCUCUACUCACGACUUCUCUUCACCGAGCAGCGCGUCGAGGCUCGUCGCUCCUCCGCCACCAUCACAUCACAGCCGGCGGCCUUCUGGGCUUCUCGUGGCCAGCGUCCCCCUGCCCCCGUCAUCUGGCAAGCCCGCCCCGCCCCCUGCAUCGACCUUGGGUGGGGGCACUAA